UACAUAGAGCUACAUAGCCUGACAUGCUGCUAGGUUUCGUAUCCUCCUGAUCACUUUUUACCACGACAACUGUUUUUUCUCUUGUCGGUCCUGUCUCCACCACGGUCUCCUCUCCGUCUGUCAGGUGUUUUAACUCUGUCUCCUCUCCGUCUUUCAGGUGUUUUAACGCUGUCUCCUCUUCGUCUGUCAGGUGUUUUAACUCUGUCUCCUCUCCGUCUGUCAGGUGUUUUAACUCUGUCUCCUCUCCGUCUGUCAGGUGUUUUAACGCUGUCUCCUCUUCGUCUGUCAGGUGUUUUAACUCUGUCUCCUCUCCGUCUGUCAGGUGUUUUAACUCUGUCUCCUCUCCGUCUGUCAGGUGUUUUAACGCUGUCUCCUCUUCGUCUGUCAGGUGUUUUAACUCUGUCUCCUCUCCGUCUGUCAGGUGUUUUAACUCUGUCUCCUCUCCGUCUGUC